rnacentral:lncRNA from 1 species
UUACAAGAUAGCUUUCCAAAAAAGACAAACAAAGGCACUUUUAAGAGCCAUUCUCUCUCUCGCUCUCUCUCUCACACUUUCUCUCUCUUUCUCACACUCACAGACACACACACACACACACACACACACACACACACACACACACACACACACACACACACACACACACACACACACACACCUGUAUUUUAUCUGUAUUGUGUGUCAAUUGUCCAGCGAUGUUCAAAAACCAGAAGGUUUGUUCUGAUGCCGUUGAGAUCAGGGACCAUAUGGCUUCUGAAAUCAGUAAUGCGCUACUCCUUGAGGCCCGGGUGAGACCAAUUUCAUCAGCUUACUUCCAUUUGUAUGAACUUUACCAUUGCUGUUGUUUGAGUAAUCCAAUGUAAAGUAUAACUUUACAGUCUGAUAUUGUAUCUGAAAAUGUUGCUGUUAUUGUCAUGUAGGCAGCAAUGGGAGACUCCCACUUUCCUCCAAAAAAGAAGAGGAGAAAGAAGAGUGCAGUCAAAAAAAAGAAAGUGGUCACGAGCCGACUUCAGAAACGUCAGAAAUCACCCAGACGUGCAUCAGAUUCCGUGAACCCAGUGAGUGAGGAAGUCCAGCUCGAAGGAAUUGAAUCGACUGCAAGUCUUGGUGAGUAUGCCUGCAUAUUCUGUAUGACUACAUUUCCCAUUCCUCCAUAUCCACAACUUCAUAUCCACAACUUUCUCAAUGAUCUCUCUGACUCUGACCAUUCAACCCGGUAUCACGCAAUUGCGUGCUCCUGCGCACGAACGUUAAUCUAUUGAAGCGUGUUCCCGAGC